rnacentral:lncRNA from 1 species
AUGGCGUCAAGUUCAUUGCAUGCCUUUGACUCCAACCAACAAGGGUACCAUGGUCAAACUAUUCAUCAUGGCGGUGCUGAAUGGAGACCUUUACCCACUAGCAUGCCUGUUGACAACUUCCAAAAUUUAGAUGCCAAAAGCCCUGUUUUCCCCCAGUACGACCAUGAUUCUCAUCCACGUUCCUAAACUUUGUCCGACUAGAUGAAAUUAUAUGUAUGAAAGUUUAGUCGUUGCAUAUGAAUAUAGAAACUCAAUUAAUGCAAUGCUUAAUGCUGAUGUUGGUGGUGAGGAUGAUGAUGAAAUCCGUAUAAAUCAAGAUUGGACGAAUGUUAAAAUUCUUAUAGAUUUUUUAGAACAUUUUCAAAUUGCUACUAAUGUAUUUUCUCGGCAAUAUUAUCCAACUAUUUAAUUGUGUAGUUUAUAUUGCAGCACUAUGUGAUUUGUUUGUUAAAAUUUUCGGAGGGUGGGGAAAUUUAUCAACUUGCUAUAAAUACAAUGAAGGAAAAGUUUAAAAAAUAUUUUUUCCAUAUUUCCCCUAUUUAUGGUGUUGUUGCAAUGUUAAACCCUACAAUAAAAUUAGGAGGUCCUCAUUUUUGGUACUUAAAUAUUUAUAAGAGUUUAGAUCUUUCACAUGAGGAAUUUGCUACACUAGGAGAUGCAAAAGCCUCAAGUAACAUAAAUGCUCAAACAAUCUAUAAUGCUUAUCAACUUGCCUUAUAUCAUGCUAGCCCAAAUGUUUCAACCCCGACUUCGUCCAGUACACAAUCGUCUAAAAGGGUUGCGAGCCAAAAAAAUACUUAAAUCUUGGACGGCGUUCAGGGUUCUCAAGGUGAUAAUUUUGAUGAGACUUCACAUCUAAACGAGCUUGAAGUUUAUUUGUCGCAUGGACUUGAAAAGGAGAAUCCAGACGGCGCCUUUGAUCUUUUGGAAUGGUGGAAGGCAAGGGAAAAAACAUUUUCCGGUUAUUGCAAGGAUGACUCGGGAUAUUUUAUCUAUUCAAUCUUCGACGAUUGCAUAAGAGAACGCUUUUAGUCAAGCAAGACUUCAAAUAGGUGAUCAUAGAGCGUCUUUGAGGGAGAGCUUGGAAAAAUCAGUACUGUUCAGAGAUUGGAUCCGCGCAGAAAGAAGAAACUUUGGACUUGCAGAAUCACAAUCGUAGAUAGAUGAAGCUUAUGAAGAAAUGAUAGCGGAAUUUGUGGAGGAUGCGCUUCGCCCAGAAGCGGUGAUGAACAAGCUUCUUUUCCGCCACCACCAACGGAACCUCCUCCGAAUCUUGAAGUAUUUAUGAGAUUUGUUAGAGAUACAAUGUAGAUUAUGACAUAACUUGUACUUUGGCACAUCUUCUUUUGGUUUUUUCCUUUUAAUGGUGGUAUUAGCGCCUUGUUGUGCUUAUUCUAUUGGGGGGAAGAAGACUAAGAAAGAUAUGACAUUUUUGGUAAUAAAAAUUAUAAGACAUUUAUUUGAAUAUCUCUUUGCAAUAUUUUUUUGUCUUUAACUUGCAAUUCUUUAUAAGUUAUAAUAUAUAUACUAACAUACUAUAUAUACUAUCACACACACACACACACACACAUAUAUAUAUGUUAGAAUAUAUAUAUAUAUAUAUACAUAGCUAUAUAUGAGCAAUUUAUACUAAUAUAUAUAUAGUUUACAAGAAAGUGCCUUAGAUAAAAAAAAUUAAAAAAAUAGUCUGGAACGAAAAAAGUCCGUUAGGCCCACGAGCCCUACCCAUUCAGCACGGGACCAUGUGGGCUUAGGACCACAUGGACCGGUUCCAACCAUUGAAACCGUGAAGAUCGGGAUCGUUUGGCCCGCCCCGCAAAGCCCGACCCGCUUAAAGUCCGAGACCGCUAGGACCAGCCCGUUUUAAGCCUGUUUGGCCCGGCUCAGAAUGCAGCUUUAUUUUAAGUGGCCAGGAAUUACGCAUUUAGAGGACAUAUAAAACUUAAUAGACCAUUUGAAAAUUUGAGUUAAGAGUUAGACAAAAGUGCAAGGUUUAUAGAAGUACAAGGACUUAAAAUACAAUAAACGGUAGUUGCAAUCGUAACAUCACGAGUAAGCGUGACGCAUGUGAUAGAUACUUCACAUAUCUCUUUAUGUUGACGAAAUUACCCCUACACAAAACUUUCACUUCGCGGAGCAAACCAAUAGAAUCCAUGAACAGAAACAAAAAUUAUGUCCAAAUGGUACAACAUGUCAAGCUGCAAAGUACCAUCAGUUAAGACUUCAUCAUGGUCAAAAGGGCAUUUCAAUUCCCUACCCUUACAAACCUCUCCAUUGACUCUCCAAGUAGUAGUGAUGUAGAAAAAUCUCUCACCCAAAUCUCCGCAUACUUCAUAUGCUGUCGUUUCGCCGCCGUUAUUACACCGUCGUUCGGUUCCUCUCCGGUGACUUUUCGAUGGUACCGAUUUUUACUUAACAAGUAUGAACAAUUUCAACAAGAUGUAUUUUUUCUGAUUAUUUUGUUGUGAAUUAUUUUGAUCGAGGGCUUAGAUUAUUCUCUUUCGGUUAAAUUUGAUGUGUUCUGAUUCACCGAUUUUUUGUUUUGGAUUUGGUUUGAUUGAACUGGAAAAAUAGGUUUUCUGAAUUACUUUCAGUGGUAGUUAUUGAUGUUGUAGCUUUACGAGCUGGAUCCUGAGCUUCGAGCUUGAUCUUAGGUCUGAAAGCCCUUGGUUGGGCCGAGUUUUUGAAUUGUUUGUUCCGCCCCUGCCCAUGUGUACUCCCAAUAACUUCAGAUAUUUGGCAUAAUAUGAAAUCCGUCAAGAGACUAAUUUUGUGACAUUUACAAGUGUGAAAGAUUCAAACUUUACUGAAUUAUCUGAAGUAUUUGUAUUCUGAUUUAUAGGUCUGUACUCUGUAGAAAAUGAAGAGAACCUAUAGCAUUAGAAAAUCCCGAUUGUUGAAUAUUGGAAUGAGAAUCCUCCAAAUGAAGGGAAAUGAAUAGUCAGGAUUAGACUCUAAACAGCUUGGACUUGUAAAGUUGUUGUGGUUGUUGUUUUGUAGUAUUUUUAUUAUGAUUUGUGAUUAAUUGAAUAGAGGUAUUUUUACCCCACCUGUUGGGAUCAAACUGGGUUUGUUGUUGUUGAUUAAUUGAAUAGAUGUUGCUUUUCCUUUAGAAUGCUGGACUCAUCUCUUAAGGCCAUUGGUGUACUUAGGACAUCAGUCCUGUCAAGCCUUAUUUUACUAAUGUUAAUCUUCAGAAAUCAAACUCCUGCUGCCAGACUUCACAGGCCAACAUAGUAUGAAGCGAUUAAGGAGAAUCACUUAGGACUGUUGAGAUCACUGCUUAACUAUGUUUUUUACAUUACUUAGGACAUGGAUCAUGUCAAGUUUUUUUCUAAACUUUUCUCGCUAAACUUGCUCUGAUAAAGCAUUGAUUACUGUGACUUGCAGCUUCUGUUCCUUUACCCAACUGCAAGAUCAAGGUAUGUCUAUAGAAGUUCUGGAGGGACAUAUGAAUAAGAAAUUAGUUGCUGCUUUCUGUCAUUACAAUGAUCAGCUGUUAGCAUGUGAUCAUGAUACACCUGUAAAAAGUUUAGUAAGUGUGACUAAAUAAGAAAUUGGUUAUAUCUCAUUUCUAUUUGGAACAGUCUCCUUAGGCUGUGAAUUUGGGAAUUGUUUCAAAUGGAUAGAAAUGUUGGAAAAGGUAUGAUGGGAGAGAAGAACUAUGAACAAGGUCGCUAUAGCUCUGUAGAGACCAGAAAUGACGUCAUUGGUUCUACAAAUGAGAGAUUUUUCCAGGAUCCAUCAAGUUCUAUUAAUACGAACAUAAGACCACCUGAUUUCGCUGUACCUGUUGGAGCUAGGCCUGUACUGAAUUAUUCUAUUCAGACUGGUGAGGAGUUUGCUCUAGAAUUCAUGCGGGAAAGGGUUAACCCUAAGCAGCAUCUCGUUCCGCAUGCUUCUGGUGGGACUACUGGUGCAACUUCUUAUAUGGACCUGAAGGACAUACUUGGAAUAUCUCAUACAGGUUCUGAAACCGGAUCAGAUAUCUCCGUGAUUGCCUCAAUAGAAAAAGGUCGAGAUAAAAAUCACGAGAGGGCUAGGACUUCAGUAAAUGAUGAGAAAUCCUACCACCAAGUUGUGCAAUCUGUGCCCAGAACCUCAUCAAGAAAUAACAACAUCCGUGGGUUUCAAAGCCAUGUAUCUUCUAGGUCUAGUACAUCAGGAAAGCUAAGGUGUCUCUGCAGUUUUGGUGGUAGGAUUAUGCCUCGACCAAGUGAUGGGAAACUUAGAUAUGUUGGAGGUGAUACACAUCUUAUUCGAGUCAACAAGGAUGUUUCUUAUGAGGAGCUUAUGCAAAAGAUGUUGACAAUAUAUAAUCGAGCUCAUACCAUAAAAUAUCAGCUUCCUGGUGAGGAUCUUGAUGCAUUGGUAUCAGUUUCUUGUGAUGAGGACGUGCAGAAUAUGAUAGAGGAAUGUAAUGGUCUAGAAGGUGAUGGAUCACAGAAGCUGCGGAUUUUUCUCUUCUCUAACAGUGACUUGGAUGAUGCUCAAGCUGGUCUUGAGAAUGUUGAAGGAGAUUCAGAGAUGCAGUAUGUUGUUGCUGUGCGGAUUUUUCUCUUCUCUACCAGUGACUUGGAUGAUGCUCAAGCUGGUCUUGAGAAUGUUGAAGGAGAUUCAGAGAUGCAGUAUGUUGUUGCUGUCAAUGGCAUGGACUUCGGGUCUAGAAGAAACUCAAUUGCUCUGGCGAGUGCUUCAGGAAAUAAUCUGGAUGAGUUUCUUCACUUAACAAUUGCUCGUGAGAAUAGUCGAGUUGCUGCUGUUGCUUCUUGUUCACUGGGUGGUGUGCCUCUAGCUGGUCAAUCUGCUCAUGUGAUGGCGUCAAGUUCAUUGCAUGCCUUUGACUCCAACCAACAAGGGUACCAUGGUCAAACUAUUCAUCAUGGCGGUGCUGAAUGGAGACCUUUACCCACUAGCAUGCCUGUUGACAACUUCCAAAAUUUAGAUGCCAAAAGCCCUGUUUUCCCCCAGUACGACCAUGAUUCUCAUCCACCCAACUCCAUGCCUGUUGACAACCUCCAAAAUUUAGAUGCCAAAAGCCCUGUUUUCCCCCAGUACGACCAUGAUUCUCAUCCACCCAGCUCCUCACAACUCACAGAUAACUUUGUUGUUAGUACAAGCCGUGG